GACGAACGCUGGCGGCACGCCUAACACAUGCAAGUCGAGCGGAGAUUGAGAGCUUGCUCUCAUGAUCAGCGGCGGACGGGUGAGUAACACGUGAGCAACCUGCCUUUCAGAGGGGGACAACAGUUGGAAACGACUGCUAAUACCGCAUAACAUUGCCGAACGGCAUCAUUUGGCAAUCAAAGGAGCGAUCCGCUGAAAGAUGGGCUCGCGUCUGAUUAGAUAGUUGGUGAGGUAACGGCCCACCAAGUCGACGAUCAGUAGCCGGACUGAGAGGUUGAUCGGCCACAUUGGGACUGAGACACGGCCCAGACUCCUACGGGAGGCAGCAGUGGGGGAUAUUGGACAAUGGGGGAAACCCUGAUCCAGCGAUGCCGCGUGAGGGAAGAAGGUUUUCGGAUUGUAAACCUCUGUGGACAGGGACG
rnacentral:rRNA from 1 species